UAAGAUCUAUGGCUCUGAUCUUCAGCCUUCCAUUCUCAUCAACCCUCAACCCCAUAUUGUAUAUUUGGAAUAUAAAAUCCGACAAACCACAAACAUGUCCACUACACUAUUCCUACCUUCAUCACUUCUUUCAUAGGAAUUCCCAUUUCUCUGUAUGCCAAACCACAGCCUCCACAAUUCAUUCACUGCUCUCACCUAAAACUCCCAUUUUCCCAUGAAAUAUUAUUGUGACCGACAAUGGGCUCGAAGGGUGCCAUUAAUGGAGGCGACAAGCCGUUGAUUCCUACUGAUAUUUGCAGGAAAGAGUAAAGCUUAAUCACCACUCCAUAUAUAUAAUGCAACACACACCACCAUUUUUUCACUUGCAAACUAAACUUCUUCUUCAACUUCGAUCUUCUAAAAUUUUCCUAACACUCAUUUCUAGAUUUCCAUGAAAUUAAACCCAUCCCAAAUUAAAGCAUAUAUAAUUCCUCAUCAGUAAGACUU